rnacentral:rRNA from 1 species
AUUGAACGCUGGCGGCAGGCCUAACACAUGCAAGUCGAACGAGUGGCGGACGGGUGAGUAAUGUCUGGGAAACUGCCUGAGGGAGGGGGAUAACUACUGGAAACGGUAGCUAAUACCGCAUACCAUCGGAUGUGCCCAGAUGGGAUUAGCUAGUAGGUGGGGUAAAGGCUCACCUAGGCGACGAUCCCUAGCCGGUCUGAGAGGCUGAACGGCCACGUUGUGACUGAGACAAGGUCCAGACUCCUACGGGAGGCAGCAGUGGGGAAUAUUGCACAAUGGGCGCACGCCUGAUGCAGCCAUGCCACGUGUAUGAAGAAGGCCUGCGGGUUGUAAAGUACUUUCAGCGGGGAGGCGUUACCCGCAGAAGAAGCACCGGCUAACUCCGUGCCAGCAGCCGCGGUAAUAC